GACGUAGGGCGCGAGCGUUGUCCGGAUUUAUUGGGCGUAAAGAGCUCGUAGGCGGUUUGUCGCGUCUGCCGUGAAAGUCCGGGGCUCAACUCCGGAUCUGCGGUGGGUACGGGCAGACUAGAGUGAUGUAGGGGAGACUGGAAUUCCUGGUGUAGCGGUGAAAUGCGCAGAUAUCAGGAGGAACACCGAUGGCGAAGGCAGGUCUCUGGGCAUUAACUGACGCUGAGGAGCGAAAGCAUGGGGAGCAAACAGG
rnacentral:rRNA from 1 species